AAAAAGUUUAAAGUUUCAUAUCUGCCCCCGUUAAACAUUUUAAACCAAGUGCUCAACAAUGACAAUUCAGAUAACUAUCGAAAUAGUAUUAUACUGUGUUUAUAGUUUUGAAAGAGUCAGACCGCUAUUAACUGGUUAUGCACAAGGCAUUUUAGAUUUGCAAGCGUAGGGGAUGAAUCUUGACAGGCUGUUAAUUUUAUAGAAGCUAAUGUUGACCUUAUUUUAAAUAUAAUAGAGUGUUAUUGUCUGGAGGUGUUUGAUAUUCAGUCAGUAGAACAUGCAAAAUAUUGAAAUGAUUUGCUGCUGUGACUGUGUUUAUGAUUAUCCACGGCAAGAUGGUAUUUUAUUGUCAGUUAAGAUUUUGUGAAUA
rnacentral:lncRNA from 1 species